rnacentral:rRNA from 1 species
UACGUAGGGUGCAAGCGUUAAUCGGAAUUACUGGGCGUAAAGCGUGCGCAGGCGGUGAUGUAAGACAUAUGUGAAAUCCCCGGGCUCAACCUGGGAACUGCAUUUGUGACUGCAUCGCUGGAGUACGGCAGAGGGGGAUGGAAUUCCGCGUGUAGCAGUGAAAUGCGUAGAUAUGCGGAGGAACACCGAUGGCGAAGGCAAUCCCCUGGGCCUGUACUGACGCUCAUGCACGAAAGCGUGGGGAGAAAACAGG